rnacentral:rRNA from 1 species
GACGUAGGGCGCGAGCGUUGUCCGGAUUUAUUGGGCGUAAAGAGCUCGUAGGCGGUUUGUCGCGUCGGAUGUGAAAUUUUAGGGCUCAACCCUGACAUUGCAUCCGAUACGGGCAGGCUAGAGUUCGGUAGGGGGGCCUGGAACUUCCGGUGGAGCGGUGAAAUGCGUUGAGAUCGGAAGGAACGCCCGCGGCGAAAGCGAGGCCCUGGACUCCAACUGACGCUGAGACGCGAAAGCCAGGGGAGCGAACGGG